UACGUAGGUGGCAAGCGUUGUCCGGAAUUAUUGGGCGUAAAGCGCGCGCAGGCGGUCUCUUAAGUCUGAUGUGAAAUCCCGUGGCUUAACCACGGGCGGUCAUUGGAAACUGGGGGACUUGAGUGCAGAAGAGAAGAGCGGAAUUCCACGUGUAGCGGUGGAAUGCGUAGAGAUCCCCAAGAACACCAGUUGCGAAGGCGGCUGACUGGACACAUAUUGACGCUGAGGCUCGAAAGCAUGGGGAGCAAACAGGG
rnacentral:rRNA from 1 species